UACGGAGGGGGCAAGCGUUAUUCGGAAUUAUUGGGCGUAAAGGGCGCGUAGGCGGCUAGAUGUGUCAGAGGUGAAAUCCCGCGGCUCAACUGAGGAACUGCCUUUGAAACUGUCUGGCUUGAGGCCGGGAGAGGGUAGCGGAAUUCCCAGUGUAGCGGUGAAAUGCGUAGAUAUUGGGAGGAACACCAGUGGCGAAGGCGGGUCUCUGGGCCGAUACUGACGCUGAGGAGCGAAAGCGUGGGGAGCGAACAGG
rnacentral:rRNA from 1 species